rnacentral:rRNA from 1 species
UACGAAGGGGGCUAGCGUUGCUCGGAUUGACUGGGCGUAAAGGGCGCGUAGGCGGUUCGUACAGUCAGACGUGAAAUUCCUGGGCUCAACCUGGGGGCUGCGUUUGAUACGUGCGGACUUGAGUGCGGAAGAGGGUCGUGGAAUUCCUGGUGUAGCGGUGAAAUGCGCAGAUAUCAGGAGGAACACCAAUUGCGAAGGCAGCUCGCUGGGACGUUACUGACGCUGAGACGCGAAAGCGUGGGGAGCAAACAGG